rnacentral:lncRNA from 1 species
CCCCCCCCCCAAAUCCCCCCAUGGCCCUUUAAAUCCCCCCCCCCAAAGUCUGCACUGUCCCUUUAAAUCCUCCCCCCCCCCAUAUAUCAGUCAUUGGGGGGGGGGUCAUUAUUAAGGUAGGUCCUCCAACCCCCCCAUUUUGGGACCCCCCCCCCCAAACCCCCCCAUAUCCCUUUAAACCCCCCCAUUUUAUUACUCCCCCCCCCCCAAAUCCCCCCAUGGCCCUUUAAAUCCCCCCCAAAGUCUGCACUGUCCCUUUAAAUCCCCCCCCCAUAUAUCAGUCAUUGGGGGGGGGGUCAUUAUUAAUGUAGGUCCUCCAACCCCCCCAUUUUCAGACCCCCCCCCCCCAAACCCCCCCAUAUCCCUUUAAACCCCCCCAUUUUAUUACUCCCCCCCCCCCCAAAUCCCCCCAUAUCCCUUUAACCCCCCCCCCAAAUUCUGCACUGUCCCUUUAAAUCCUCCCCCCCCCCCCCAUAUAUCAGUCAUUGGGGGGGGGUCAUUAUUAAGGUAGGUCCUCCAACCCCCCCAUUUUGGGACCCCCCCCCCAUAUACCCCCAUAUCCCUUUAAACCCCCCCAUUUUAUUACCCCCCCCCCAAAAAACUCCGCAGUGUCCCUUUAAAUGCCCCCCCCAUAUAUCAGACAAUGGGGGAGGGGCGUUAUUAUUGUCGGUCCUCCAACCCCCCCCAUAGGUCAGAUAUUGGGGUGUGGGGGGGUCGUUAUUAUUACAGACCCCCCCCCCAAUAAUAACGGCCCUUCCGUGACCCCCCCCCACCGCCCCCCCCCCAAAAAAAACCACCAAAACGACAAAAAACGACAAAAAAAACCCAAAACGGCGUCGGGGAAACGCAGUGGGAAAUAAAAGAGCCGCCGCUUCGCUGCGGGGUGCAGUGCCGCUCAGUCACCGCCAGGGGGCGCUGUGGGCAAUGCAGCCCUAUGGGGGCGCUGUGGGCGAUGCAGCCCUAUGGGGGCGCUGUGGGUGCAGUGCCGCUCAGUCACCGCCAGGGGGCGCUGUGGGCAAUGCAGCCCUAUGGGGGCGCUGUGGGCGAUGCAGCCCUAUGGGGGCGCUGUGGGUGCAGUGCCGCUCAGUCACCGCCAGGGGGCGCUGUGGGCAAUGCAGCCCUAUGGGGGCGCUGUGGGCGAUGCAGCCCUAUGGGGGCGCUGUGGGUGCAGUGCCGCUCAGUCACCGCCAGGGGGCGCUGUGGGCAAUGCAGCCCUAUGGGGGCGCUGUGGGCGAUGCAGCCCUAUGGGGGCGCUGUGGGUGCAGUGCCGCUCAGUCACCGCCAGGGGGCGCUGUGGGCAAUGCAGCCCUAUGGGGGCGCUGUGGGCAAUGCAGCCCUAUGGGGGCGCUGUGGGUAAUGCAGCCCUAUGGGGGCGCUGUGGGCGAUGCAGCCCUAUGGGGGCGCUGUGGG